rnacentral:rRNA from 1 species
UACGUAGGGUGCAAGCGUUGUCCGGAAUUAUUGGGCGUAAAGGGCUCGUAGGCGGUCUGUCACGUCGGGAGUGAAAACUCGGGGCUUAACCCCGAGCCUGCUUCCGAUACGGGCAGACUAGAGGUAUGCAGGGGAGAAUGGAAUUCCUGGUGUAGCGGUGAAAUGCGCAGAUAUCAGGAGGAACACCGGUGGCGAAGGCGGUUCUCUGGGCAGUACCUGACGCUGAGGAGCGAAAGUGUGGGGAGCGAACAGG